rnacentral:lncRNA from 1 species
ACUGCACCUGCGUAUUCACAGAUACAAGUGGGUGAGGGAGCCGCAGGAGGCACCUGAGCCCAGCCCCUGGGUUCUGCCCCUGUUCCUCCCCGCCCCCACUAGGUAAAAAAGCCCCUGCCUCCUGCUGCUGAUUAGGUCAAUAACGCAUGCCAAUAAGAUGAUUUCUCUUUUAACCUGCUGAUCCUUGCGAACGAGGCAUCCUGAGUGUCCCGGCAGCAGCUUCCACUUGCCGUUCAACAAGACCCUUGCUGUGUCUCCUGGCCAGAGUGUGUCCUCUUUUGGAUCCGGACCUCCAACCCUGCAGAACCCAGAGUCGCAGAGCAGGAAGCCCCAAAUCCCCCAGUGGGUCUUAGAGACUGGUGCUACACUGAAGCUGAGUGUGGUGGCACAUGCCCA